GGGUAAGUAGGUUGGUCGUGCCACCGGUACGUACUGGUCUCACUGAUUCCUCCUUCCCGAAGAACCGUAAUGCCAUUAAUUUGGUGUUGCGGGGAAACAGGACUGUUACUUUGAAAAAAUUAGAGUGUUUAAAGCAAGCUAACGCUUGAAUACAUUAGCAUGGAAUAAUGAAAUAGGACGAUCGAUCCCAUUUUGUUGGUUUCUAGGAUUGACGUA
rnacentral:rRNA from 1 species